GAUGAAGAACGUAGCGAAAUGCGAUAAGUAGUGUGAAUUGCAGAAUUUAGUGAAUCAUCGAAUCUUUGAACGCACAUUGCGCCCUUUGGUAUUCCUUAGGGCAUGUCUGUUCGAGCGUCAUCUACACCCUCAAGCACAGCUUGGUGAUGGGCGCCUGUCCCGCCCCCCACGGGGGCGCGGACUCGCCUCAAAUGCAUUGGCGGCCGGCGACCUGGCUUCGAGCGCAGCAGAAACGCGUACUCGGGGACCGGGCGCCCGCUCCCAGAAGCCAACCCACCCAGUUUGACCUCGGAUCAGGUAGGGAUACCCGCUGAACUUAAGCAUAUCAAUAAGCGGAGGA
rnacentral:misc_RNA from 1 species